GUCUACGGCCCAUGCUACCCUGAACAAGCCCGAUUCCGUCUGAUCUCGGAAGCUAAGCAGGGUCGGGCCUGGUUAGUACUUGGAUGGGAGACCACCUAGGAAGACCAGGUGCUGUAGGUG
rnacentral:rRNA from 1 species